GCUGAGGUUUGAGGCCCCGUUUUGCUGCUCACUAGCUACAUGAUCUUGGGCAAGUUAUUUAAGCUCUCUGAGCUUCAGUUUCUUCCUCUGCAGAAUGGGGAUGAAAGUGGACUACUACCUCAUGGCAUGUUUUGAGGAUGAAAUGAGCUAAUAAACACAGUCUUCAGCCCUACAUUAGGAUGGCCUAAGGAAAACAAGAAGACUGAAUGAUAUUCCCUGCUGACUUAUAUAAGUUAUUAGUCUUCUAGAAGGAUCACAAGGAACCAGCAUCAAAGAAAUGGAAUCCAGCUAAUUCCCCCAAGAAACUGAAGUUUUCGGGACAUGACUUGUGAAAGGCAAACAUAAGCUGACAUCUUUUCACACUGAACAGCAAGAGCCAAAGUGUAUCCGAAAAGCCAUUGUCAAAACAAGGAGUGAGAACAGCUGGGGUCAAGACCUAAUGAAGGGCAUCACUCAGCCUCUUUGAGCCUCGGAUUCCUCAUUUGUAAAGUGGGCAUAAUAAUACCUCACAGGGUAGUUAUGAGGGCAAAUGAGAUAAUGGACACGAAGGCACCUGUACACUCCACGGUGCUAUCAGAAUAUUGACUAUUAGUGCUUUCAUCACGCGGCUCCAUCCAAACCCCUGCUUUCCCUCACUCCAACAGGCUUUUACUCUGUCACCCAUGCUGGAGUGCAGUGGUGCAAUCUUGGCUCACUGAAACCUCUGCCUCCUGGAUUCAAGCGAUCCUCCCACCUCAGCCUCCCGAGUAGCUGGGACUACAGGCAACCUGGCGGUUCCCCGCUCCAGGGAGGUCACCCUCUUGAUGCUGAAUUUAGCACGGACACCUGAUGGGCACAGUGCACUGCAGCCCAGAGCUCCUGAGCUCAAGCCAUCCUCCUGCCUCAGCCUCCAAGUAGCCAGGACCACAGGCACGCACCCUGAG
rnacentral:lncRNA from 10 species